UACGUAGGGUGCAAGCGUUGUCCGGAAUUAUUGGGCGUAAAGAGCGUGUAGGCGGCCCGAUUAGUCCGCUGUGAAAGUCCAGGGCUCAACCCUGGAAUGCCGGUGGAUACUGUCGGGCUAGAGUCCGGAAGGGGCGAGUGGAAUUCCUGGUGUAGCGGUGAAAUGCGCAGAUAUCAGGAGGAACACCAAGGGCGAAGGCAGCUCGCUGGGACGUGACUGACGCUGAGACGCGAAAGCGUGGGGAGCAAACAGG
rnacentral:rRNA from 1 species